rnacentral:rRNA from 1 species
UACGGAGGGGGUUAGCGUUGUUCGGAAUGACUGGGCGUAAAGCGCGCGUAGGCGGAUCGGCAAGUCGGGGGUGAAAUCCCGGGGCUCAACCCCGGAAUGGCCUUCGAAACUCCCGGUCUUGAGUUCGAGAGAGGUGAGUGGAAUUCCGAGUGUAGAGGUGAAAUUCGUAGAUAUUCGGAGGAACACCAGUGGCGAAGGCGGCUCACUGGCUCGACACUGACGCUGAGGUGCGAAAGCGUGGGGAGCAAACAGG